AUGAAGUAUAUCAUCUUUGCAUCACUUCUCUGUAACUUUUUGAGAGUAAAAUAGAAAGCCUGAGCAGAGACUUCAGAAAUCUGCAAUGCCAAGUUUCUGUGUUAAUCUGGAGAGUGCUUUGGAGAAUAAAUUGAUGCCCUCUUCCCUGUGAAACCCCUUCAAAUAUUGGAAGACUGCUAUCAUAUCUCCCAAACUUUCUCUUCAUUAGACUGCCCAUAUCUAGUUCCCUUAGCUGCUUAUUGUAUGAUUUAGCUUCCAGGCCCCUUAUCAUCUUUGUGGCUGUUCUCUACAUUCUUUCUAGUGCCUCAGCAUCUUUUUUUGUAUCAUUAUUGGAAGAAGGAAACCUCAUCUUGCAGUAGUUCUUUCUUCAGGACAGAUCCCAGACCAUGUUGGUUGGCAGAGAACAUGGAGCAAUAGACUUCAGCUUUAGGAUGGUACUUAGGGCACUACCUUCUCUUGCCUCCUUUUUAAUAUAUGCAAUACAUGAAGCCAGUGGGCAAUAUCAUCUGUUGAUACUGAGUGAAGUAUCUCCAAUACAUUUAUGAUUCA